AAAGGACCAAAAAAGCAUGGCCCAUGUUUUCGACAAGCCAUCUCUACUAACUCAUGUUUUAAACUUAACCCGUAUUUAGUCCCUCUCUCUGUUCAAGAAAAGAACA
rnacentral:rRNA from 1 species